GAAAUAUAGGCUAAACACGUAAACCAUGGACCUUCAAAGCCCAAACUGUGAACAAAUCACUAUUUCUG
rnacentral:tRNA from 1 species